GACGAACGCUGGCGGCGUGCUUAACACAUGCAAGUCGAGCGGAGCGGCGAACGGGUGAGUAACGCGUGAGUAACUGCCCCCCUCUCUGGGAUAACAGUUGGAAACGGCUGCUAAUACCGGAUAGUGGGGGAUGACUCGCGUCCUAUCAGCUUGUUGGUGGGGUAGUGGCCUACCAAGGCGGCGACGGGUAGCCGGCCUGAGAGGGCGACCGGCCACAUUGGGCUGGGCAACAGCCCAAACUCCUUCGGUAGGCAGCAGUGGGGAAUAGUGCACGAUGGGUGAAACCCUGAUUCAGCAAUCCGCGUGCUGGAUGACGGCCUUCUGAUUGUACCCCUCUUUCAGCCAUGACGCGGUAGUGGCAGAAGAAGCACCGGCUAACUACGUGCCAGCGGCCGCGGUAAUUC
rnacentral:rRNA from 1 species